GUAGGAUUUCGUGAACAGAGCCUUAUUUCCUGACUAGCUUCCAGAGGAUUCGUUCAUGCCUUAUUUUCCUUAGGGCUGUUACUGGAUAUGGUUCUUCCAAAGAUUCAGAUGACUGGUUGGGCAAAAGACCUUGAGCAAAAUUCUGUACUGUGCAUGCCAGACGUGUUGAGGAACUGAUUUACUCACUGUAAGCAAAAUAGCUGCUCUUGGUUGAAGCACUGGUAAGUUGUUAUUCCUAAUAACAUUUACUUUUUAGCUUUAA
rnacentral:lncRNA from 1 species